GGUGUCUGGAUUGGAUAAGGAGGCAGACCUGGUGCACAUGGAAGUGAGGACAGCAGAUGGAUAUGCCCACUACCUCACCUGCAGAAUCCAAGAAUGUGCUGAGACAACUCGGAGUGGCCCCUUUGCCCGUUCCAUUGACAUCAGCUCCUUGGUUGUCCAGGAUGAAUAUAUUUUCAUUCAGGU